GAACAAGUCCUCCAAAGACUUCCCCAGAGGCAACCCCACAAGCUUCUCCCCUGCACCCACUACAAGUGACAGCAGAACAUAAGUCUCAGAGGAAAACUGAACUGCAUUCCCUUCUUACUGGCAUGUGCAGCUGGCCCAGUGCCCCCAGCCCUGAUCACGAGGCUUGCCCAGCACCAGCUCCACCCCUGAGCUACCCAUGUGAGCUGUCCCCACACCCCAGCUGAUCUCUGCUCAUCUGUGACUCAUCUAGGCCAGUUGCUGGGGCCCUCAUCCUGUUGCUGACAUGCAAUCCUUUCAUGUCAGUUCCUUCCUCCCUGACCCUCCCAGAGCCGUCAUGCCUGGAGAGCCAGCUCUGAAGCUGCCCAAGCAGCUCAUGGCCCCACCGCCCUGACCACCUGGGUCUGGUACCUGCCACAGCUGCCUAAAUAGAGUUCCAGCAGUUUCCCAGACUCUCACCUCAGUGCAAACUGGACUCCAGUGUCCAAGGUUCUUAUCUUCCUGCCUGAACAGCCUGUCUGGGUCCAAGAACCCUCCCCCCAACCCCAGACCACAGCCUGCAGGAAGGAACCCCAAGGCACUGAGGGGAAAAGCCAUUUCCACUUCCAGUUCUGGUCCAGACCCUCUUAGGCGGCGGAUGCUCCAUGAGUGCGAGUGG
rnacentral:lncRNA from 1 species